AUGGUGCAGAGCCCGAGCCCGGUGGUGAAGCUAGGGGCGUGGGGCAACGACGCCGGGGCCGCCCAUGACAUCGACGCGGCGCCGCACCGGCUGGAGAGCAUCGCCAUCCGCUGGGGCAAGGUCAUCGACUCCGUCGCCUUCACCUACACCGACAAGGGCGGGCAGCUGCACACCGCCGGGCCCUGGGGCGGCACCGGAGGGGAGAAGGAAGACACAAUCACCCUUGGGCCCACGGAGUACGUAACCCAGGUCGCUUGGUCGGUGGGCCCGUUCCAGCUCAAGGAAAUCGAGGACUGCGUCACCUCGCUCAAGUUUGUGACCAACCGGGGGGCCACCUACGGCCCCUUUGGCCGAGGGGACGGCGUGCACCACAGCCUGCCUGUGCUCGACGGCGGCAGCCUCGUCGGCAUGUUCUGCCGUGCCGGAGACUACCUCCACGCAAUCAGCUUCUAUGUCCGACCCUUGGCCGUCGUCAAGCCGGCCUCGCCGGCCAAGCCUGAGGGGGAGAGUUUGCCUACCGUAGCCACCAAGGGAUAG
rnacentral:rRNA from 1 species